rnacentral:misc_RNA from 1 species
UUAAGUUCAGCGGGUAUCCCUACCUGAUCCGAGGUCAACCUGAAAAAAUAAAAGGUUUAACGGCAAUGAGAUCUCACCAAGCUUAUAAGACGUUUUGAUUUAACUCUACUACGCCCGAAGUUGGAGAAACCCCGCCGAGGUCUUCGAGGCACGCCCGCCUUUCGACGGACGAUGCCCAAUACCAAGCGGUGCUUGAGUGG